CGCGUAGGCGGGAGAGCAAGUCAGAUGUGAAAUGUGGGGCUUAACCCUCAAGCUGCAUUUGAAACUGUUUUCUUGAGUAUCGGAGAGGCAGGCGGAAUUCCUAGUGUAGCGGUGAAAUGCGUAGAUAUUAGGAGGAACACCAGUGGCGAAGGCGGCCUGCUGGACGACAACUGACGCUGAGGCGCGAAAGCGUGGGGAGCAAACA
rnacentral:rRNA from 1 species